UGAGUAAUGAUGACACUAGCAGUCCAGCCUGCAUGGAUGCUGACAUGGAUGCUGUCUCCCAUUCUUACCACUGGAUGGGAAGAAAUGCUAGAUGCAAUCCAGCCAGUCUGUACUCGACUGUCAGUUCCAUCUUCUCAACUCACAGUGUCUUCCAAAGUCCGUGCCACACCACAGCCUGGAACAUCUCCCAAGGUUUCAAAUAAUUCAUCAGUGAAUUCUUCUCAACCUGGUCAAUCAUGUGAACUUAGAAGAUGAUUCCUCCCCAGCUGAUCCUCAGGUGAGACAUCAGCCUUGGCCAUCAUCUACAUCUGGAUUCCUGACCCAGAGAAACUGGAACACUAAGACCCAUUCUUCUUCUCAAGUAUCCAAAAAUAAAGUUGAUCCAAGUAAGAAGUGGACAGCAUAAAAGAUUGUAUGGAAGCUAUAAUGCAUCUACAUCUGCAGUAACUAAUCAUAAAAUGAUUUGUAUGAUCAUUCUUCACAUGAUUAGAAUUACUAUGGGAAAGAAGAAAAAGAAAUGCCUCUCUGGAUGGUGACUAUAACCUAUAGCCUUGCCCAAUAUGACUCAGGAUUUGGUACUGGCUGUGCCUUUCAUGGGAUGCUUACUUAUCCUGGUCGAUGGCCUAAAGCCCAACCGUCCAGCUUAUAUCCAGGGAUAAACUCAGCCUGCGGGGCCUCAGGAAGAAGGUCGUAGCCAUUUCAUUGAGUCCAGGGCAGAAAAGUGGAAGAAAAAUGUGAAUGUGUUAAUUUGAGGACUUUAGCUCUGAGAGGUUUCAGGAUUCAGUCCAAAAUGCAGAAAACAAUAAAAAGCUCAAAAA
rnacentral:lncRNA from 10 species